UCCUCGAUAGCUCAAUGGUAGAGCAUCCGGCUGUUAACCGGAGGGUUGUAGGUUCGAGUCCUACUCGAGGAGCCA
rnacentral:tRNA from 2 species